AUGCCUAUGUUUUUGACCGAAAUAAAAGAGAUUUUGCAUAGAUCCAUGAACAAUAUCAGACGUUCAUCAACUCCAGAAGUGGAUCCUCCAACUACACCAAAAUCAGGAAAUUCAAUGAAGACCGGAAACCCAACCCAGGUUCUUGACAAGGUAGAAAUAUAUCCAGGUACUGGGGUGUUCUGUGACAAACUUGUGUGGGCUUUAGCCAACAAUUCACACACAGCAACAUCAUUUGUGCGCACUCUUCUUGUGAAUCUAUUCCCUUUAGAUGUUUUGCUGAAAAGUAACUUGAGAGGGAGGAGCAAAGACACCACAGAGCACAGACCUGCAUUAGAUGCAACAAAGAUUGAUGCCAUCUACAGAGCAACUUUGCAGAAGUGGCAUAAUACCCCACAGGCUGUUAUUGGCUCAGCAAUCAAUGGCAAGUUGGCUGAACUUCGCAAUAAAAGUAAACAAAAACUACAGCAUACAUGGACUCAAAGUGAGGGAGAUGUGAGCACUGAAUGAGUAUGUCAUAAUGUAGCCUUGAUUUAAUAGGAAUCCAAAUAAUUCCAGUUCUUCCAUUUCUCAUUACAUGUUACAGUUCCUAUUUGUGUUUUGCAAAUGGCAUGUAAGGUAUAAGGAGUUUGUGUAUAACAUGUUUGAUAAAUAAUUUCAAUCUGUUAUUUGCACACACACAAAAAAUAAUAUGUGGUAUAAUGUACACCAUUGUUUAACUUGGCUAUUUUGUAUAAGCUUUUCCAACAUGAUUAUAUGUUUUUGUCAUGUUAGGUUGCUUGUUGUUGUUCUUGGAAUAUUACUUUUUUUAUUUUUAUCAAACCUUACUAUUUUGAGUCUACCACUAUUGGAAGAGAAGCCAUUUAGAGAUGGCCCUAAGUUGUCCUAAAAACAGCCAGUGUAAACGCAC